rnacentral:rRNA from 1 species
UACGUAGGGGGCAAGCGUUGUCCGGAAUUAUUGGGCGUAAAGAGCGUGUAGGCGGUCCGGUAAGUCGGCUGUGAAAGUCCAGGGCUCAACCCUGGGAUGCCGGUCGAUACUGCCCGGACUAGAGUUCGGAAGAGGCGAGUGGAAUUCCCGGUGUAGCGGUGAAAUGCGCAGAGUAUCGGGAGGAACACCUAUGGCGAAGGCAGCUCGCUGGGACGUUACUGACGCUGAGACGCGAAAGCGUGGGGAGCAAACAGG